GACAGAGGGUGCAAACGUUGUCCGGAAUUACUGGGCGUAAAGCGUGUGUAGGCGGCUCUGCAAGUCGGAUGUGAAAGCCCCGGGCUCAACCUGGGAAGUGCACUCGAAACUGCUGAGCUUGAGUAUCGGAGAGGUCGGUGGAAUUCUCGGUGGAGAGGUGAAAUUCGUAGAUAUCGAGGGGAACACCAGUGGCGAAGGCGGCCGACUGGACGAAUACUGACGCUGAGACACGAAAGCGUGGGGAGCAAACAGG
rnacentral:rRNA from 1 species